AUUGAACGCUGGCGGAAUGCUUUACACAUGCAAGUCGAACGGCAGCACGGACUUCGGUCUGGUGGCGAGUGGCGAACGGGUGAGUAAUGUAUCGGAACGUGCCCAGUCGUGGGGGAUAACGUGGUGAAAAUUACGCUAAUACCGCAUACGAUCUACGGAUGAAAGCGGGGGAUCGCAAGACCUCGCGCGAUUGGAGCGGCCGAUAUCAGAUUAGGUAGUUGGUGGGGAAAAGGCCCACCAAGCCAACGAUCUGUAGCUGGUCUGAGAGGACGAUCAGUCCAACUGGAAUGGAGACACGAUCUCGACGCAUACGGCAGGCAUCAGUGGGGAAUUUUGGACAAUGGGCGAAAGCAUGAUCCAGCCAUUCCGCGUGCAGGAUGAAGGCCCUCGGGUUGUAAACUGCUUUUGUACAGAACGAAAAGGUUUCUACUAAUACUAGGAGCUCAUGACGGUACUGUAAGAAUAAGCACCGGCUAACUACGUGCCAGCAGCAGCCGCCG
rnacentral:rRNA from 1 species